rnacentral:tRNA from 1 species
ACCCAUAUAUUUUAUAUAAAAUAAUGAUUUGUGGAGUCAUAGAUAUGAAUAUUAARUUCAUUUUGGGUC